rnacentral:rRNA from 1 species
GACGAACGCUGGCGGCGUGCUUAACACAUGCAAGUCGAACGGAAAGGCCCUGCUUGCAGGGUACUCGAGUGGCGAACGGGUGAGUAACACGUGGGUGCUCUGCCCUGCACUUCGGGAUAAGCCUGGGAAACUGGGUCUAAUACCGGAUAGGAGCCAUUUUUAGUGUGAUGGUUGGAAAGUUUUUUCGGUGUAGGAUGAGCUCGCGGCCUAUCAGCUUGUUGGUGGGGUAAUGGCCUACCAAGGCGGCGACGGGUAGCCGGCCUGCGAGGGUGGACGGCCACAUUGGGACUGAGAUACGGCCCAGACUCCUACGGGAGGCAGCAGUGGGGAAUAUUGCACAAUGGGAGCAAGCCUGAUGCAGCGACGCCGCGUGGGGGAUGACGGCCUUCGGGUUGUAAACUCCUUUCGCUAGGGACGAAGCUUUUGUGACGGUACCUAGAUAAGAAGCACCGGCUAACUACGUG